UUUUUCAUCAAAGCUGUUACAGUGAGCUGUUACGGUGAGCUAGUGCAGUUCCUUUCUGAUUGCAGCAAUGGCGAACGCGUGGAGGAGGGAGAAGCCCUCUCACCUCUUCUCCCCGAGAACCCUAAUCUCCUUGCUCCUCUCCACGUCCUUGCUCCUAUUCCUCUUCUUCUUCUGCUCCUCCUCCAGAUCCACACCCCUCCGCGGCCGUGAGACCUUCGCCCUAUCCCCUGCCGGGAUCCGGCCCUUCGACUGCCACGCCUGCCCGCAGGCGUCGCCGGUAUUUGCCAGCCUCGUCGAGGGCGUCAAGCACCCAUUCCUGUAUUCUCUUUCUGACUUCGGAUCCCUCCCGGAGAAGCCACACAAGAACAUAGCCCGCAUGCUCAAGGGGAAGCCCUUUCGCCGUCCUGACAUUUCGGCGACGUUGCAAGAGUUUCUGGAGGGGAAGGAGAGGGAUGAGGGGUUGGUGGUGGACGUGGGGGCCAAUGUCGGGAUGGCGACCUUCGCGGCGGCUGCGAUGGGUUUCAGAGUGGUCGCUUUCGAGCCGGUGUUUGAGAAUCUGCAGAGGAUCUGCGACGGCAUGUUUUUGAAUCGGGCAGGGGAUCGGGUAACUCUAUAUGCUGCGGCUGCCUCCGAUCGGAUCGGGAACAUUACAUUCCACAAGUUGGUCGGCCGGCUUGACAACAGUGCAAUCUCUGCAACUGGAGCUAAGCUUGCAUUCAAAUCUAACCAAGAGGUUGCUGUGGAAGUGGCAACAGUGCCAUUGGAUGAGGUACUUCCUGAAGCAGAGCGGAUUCUGAUAAUCAAGAUUGAUGUUCAGGGGUGGGAGUACCAUGUCCUUAGAGGUGCCUCCAAGCUCUUGUCUAGAGGCAAAAGUGAAGCUCCUUACCUUAUAUAUGAGGAAGAUGAAAGGUUACUCCAGGCAAGCAACACGACCAUAGAUCAGAUCAGGAAGUUCCUUAGUAGUAUGGGUUAUCAUCAUUGCAGUCGGCAUGGUACCGAUGCACACUGCACAAAGGAUUAAAUUUUAGCAUUUCUGUUUGGAGAUCAUCAUGCUUGGGUGGGAUAUAGUCUCAUUGCAGGUACCAUGGAAAAUUAUGCAAUACCGAUGCAGACUAGAAAUCUGACUUGGACACACAGUGAAUUGCACGUCGACUUACCUGAUUGUGGGCUGGUGGUGCUCAAGAAUUGGGAGAUGCAGCAUGAAUUUCAAUUAUAUGGGAAUGCUUGCUGUUGAAGGCACAUAUGAUAAAAUGGAGGCACUUCUAAGCCAAAACAUUCAUCCUGUGGAUAUCUUGUUAAUGUUAGCUGCUGCCGAAGGUGACAAACUUAAAAUUGAGGAACUAAAGAGAGCAGGUGCUAACUAUAAUGUCAAAGAUGCAAAUGGAAGAACGGCUUUGGACCGAGCAUCUAGCAACGAGAUCAAGGAAUUAAUUUUAGGCUUCUCAAUACAGAAAGCAUGAGCUAGAACCUAUUCAAUCACAAUGCCGUUCUUCCAAAAUUCCCUUAGGUAUCCAUUUUAGUCAUUGUAGAAGUUAGUGAAACUGUACCUUUUUCACCAACCUCUAGCCCUUGGUAGUUAUGCUCAUUAUCAUUGUUUGAGCAGCAGCAAAAGAUUAA